UAUGGCUAUAUCAUGUUGAAACACCGGUUCUUAUAAUGAUCACCAAAGUUAAGCAAUGCCGAAUCUGGUCAAUACCUAGAUGGGUGACCGAUUAGGAAUACCAGGUGCUGUAAG